AAAACAUCAGCCAAAAGGUCCUCUCCUCUCCCCCUCCUCUCCCUCUCCAUCGAGCAAAAACAGCCCCAAAGAAGAAUUCUCUUCUUCCAUCACCCCAUCAAAGCCCCUCUCUUCAAUUCCUCUCCAAGAGAAACUCCUUCCUCUUCAAUUCUGCUAAAAAUCUUGAAGAAACAGCCCCUUCAAACUCAGCCCCAAAGCCAUCCAAGAACAUCCAAGCCAAACCCGCCGAAAAUCCACCGAGCCUUUGGUUUUCUUACUCCUUCAUCUUCGAUUUCUUGUUCUUGGGUUGUGAGGCCGGCGGAGUGGAGUUCGAGGAAUCGCUAGCCUUGAUGCCUUGACUGUUUAACCCGGAUUUUUACCACGUCAACGAUUUCUAAAAUAUCUAGCCAAGAUAUCGAUUUUUAAUUUUUGUACUCUGAUUUGGGAACCCUGUCUAUUAAACGGGGGUAUCUUAAAUAAAGUUUAUUUCCUUCCGCUGUCUUACGAGUGUUUUCUAAACCCCGGUGA